rnacentral:rRNA from 2 species
GUGGGGAGCGAACAGGAUUUUAUACCUUGGUAGUCCACGCCGUAAACGAUGAGUGCUAAGUGUUAGGGGGUUUCCGCCCCUUAGUGUUGCAUCUAACGCAUUAAGCACUCCGCCUGGGGAGUACGGUCGCUAGACUUAAACUCUAAGGAAUUGACGGGGGCCCGCACAAGCGGUGGAGCAUGUGGUUUAAUUCGAAGCAACGCGAAUAACCUUACCAGGUCUUGACAUCCUCUGACAAUCCUAGAGAUAGGACGUCCCCUUCGGGGGCAGAGUGACAGGUGGUGCAUGGUUGUCGUCAGCUCGUGUCGUGAGAUGUUGGGUUAAGUCCCGCAACGAGCGCAACCCUUGAUCUUAGUUGCCAGCAUUCAGUUGGGCACUCUAAGGUGACUGCCGGUGACAAACCGGAGGAAGGUGGGGAUGACGUCAAAUCAUCAUGCCCCUUAUGACCUGGGCUACACACGUGCUACAAUGGACAGAACAAAGGGCAGCGAAACCGCGAGGUUAAGCCAAUCCCACAAAUCUGUUCUCAGUUCGGAUCGCAGUCUGCAACUCGACUGCGUGAAGCUGGAAUCGCUAGUAAUCGCGGAUCAGCAUGCCGCGGUGAAUACGUUCCCCGGGCCUUGUACACACCGCCCGUCACACCACGAGAGUUUGUAACACCCGAAGUCGGUGAGGUAACCUUUUAGGAGC